rnacentral:rRNA from 1 species
CAGUAAGAGUUUGAUCAUGGCUCAGAUUGAACGCUGGCGGCGUGCUUAACACAUGCAAGUCGAGCGGUAACAGGCGUAGCAAUACGUGCUGACGAGCGGCGAACGGGUGCGUAAUACAUGGGAAUCUGCCCUUUGGUGGGGAAUAACCCGGCGAAAGCCGGGCUAAUGCCGCAUGAGAUCUUCGGAUGAAAGCGGGGGAUCGUAAGACCUCGCGCCGAUGGAUGAGCCCAUGUCGGAUUAGCUAGUUGGUGAGGUAACGGCUCACCAAGGCGACGAUCCGUAGCUGGUCUGAGAGGACGGCCAGCCACACUGGGACUGAGACACGGCCCAGACUCCUACGGGAGGCAGCAGUGGGGAAUAUUGGACAAUGGGCGAAAGCCUGAUCCAGCGACGCCGCGUGUGUGAUGAAGGCCUUAGGGUUGUAAAGCUCUUUUGUCGGGGACGAUAAUGACGGUACCCGAAGAAUAAGCUCCGGCUAACUUCGUGCCAGCCGCCGCGGUAAUUC